AUACUCCAGUGGCGGACGGGUGAGUAACGCGUGAGAAUCUACCUUCUGGUCGGGGACAACCACGGGAAACGGUGGCUAAUACCGGAUGUGCCUACGGGUAAAAGAUUUAUUGCCAGAAGAAGAGCUCGCGUCUGAUUAGCUAGUUGGUAGGGUAAAAGCCUACCAAGGCAACGAUCGGUAGCUGGUCUGAGGGGACGAUCAGCCACACUGGGACUGAGACACGGCCCAGACUCCUACGGGAGGCAGCAGUGGGGAAUUUUCCGCAAUGGGCGAAAGCCUGACGGAGCAAGACCGCGUGAGGGAAGAAGGCUCUUGGGUCGUAAACCUCUUUUGUUAGGGAAGAACACAAUGACGGUACCUAACGAAUCAGCCUCGGCUAACUCCGUGCCAGCAGCCGCGGUAAUACGGAGGAGGCAAGCGUUAUCCGGAAUUAUUGGGCGUAAAGCGUCCGUAGAUGGUGGCUUCAAGUCUGCGGUCAAAGACUGGGGCUUAACCCUGGAAAGGCCGUGGAAACUGAACAGCUAGAGAAAGGUAGGGGUAGAGGGAAUUCCCAGUGUAGCGGUGAAAUGCGUAGAGAUUGGGAAGAACAUCAGUGGCGAAAGCGCUCUACUGGACCUUAUCUGACAUUGAGGGACGAAAGCUAGGGGAGCGAAUGGGAUUAGAUACC
rnacentral:rRNA from 1 species